rnacentral:rRNA from 1 species
ACACGACUACAUUAGAUACCCGCGUAGUCCUAGCCGUAAACGAUACUCGCUAGGUGUCGGCCACGGUGCGACCGUUGUCGGUGCCGUAGGGAAGCCGUGAAGCGAGCCACCUGGGAAGUACGGCCGCAAGGCUGAAACUUAAAGGAAUUGGCGGGGGAACACAACAACGGGUGGAGCUUGCGGUUUAAUUGGAUUCAACGCCGGAAAUCUUACCGGGACCGACAGCAACAUGAAGGUCAAGCUGAAGACUUUGCCGGAUUAGCUG